UUAUCAAAAAUAGAUAAUAGUUUUUAUUCUCGGAGCGCGCUGCCAUGUAACCACGAAUAACAGUUUAUAUACAAAAUAUGACGUCAUUGGUGAAUGAAUCUCCUCCUCCCGACCGAGACAAAGCAAGUUUAAAAGUUCAUUCCGUCUCACUAGCGCACACACAGGACACACUAUAUAACUGAAUUAACUCUUGACCCCUCACCAUUAUCGAUCACCACUUAGCUGACAGUUCUAGUUAACAGAAAACCUAGGAAUGCACUCACUGCCUUAUCUAAAACACCCCAGAGCUAAAUUUCGUCUGUUCAACCAUAGUUUAAAGACCUUUUCUCCUCACUUAAAAACCCUCACUCCUAAUCUCCUCCAACCUGGCUGGAAUGGUAUUUAUUUAAAUGUAAUUACCCCCUGUUUCAGGCUCCACAAUCCCUCACUUAUGAACUCAUAUUGUUAAUCAAAUAUAAUAAAACAGGGUAUAGUUUACUUAGUUACAGUUUCAUUUAAAAUGGGGAUAUUGUUUAGUCAUUUAUUCAUAAAAUUCCUAACAACCAACCAAAUCAUAAGUUCUGUAUGAGAAAUAACAGCCUUUAAAAUGACUCAAUAACAUACAACAUUUUAACACAAUUCUGAUCUUUUAUCAUUUAUAAAAUCAGAACAAGAAACUGACAAGAAUUGAUGUAUAAAUAAAAAUAAAUAAACCAUUCCUUCGCUGAUAUAUUAUUAGAAUAUCAUCAUUAAACAGUGAUCAUAAAUAAACGGAUCUGAAGACGGGGUAGUUCUAGCCUGGUUACACAAGACAUAACGCUGUACUCACCAUUGUCCAUACGGUAAGGUGUUUAUUUAGUCUGUUUUAACCAGGCUAGGAUAGGUCAUGUGUAGACUACUGUCAGGAUAUAUUGAGCAGCAGUGAGUUGAUAUGUUCCCUUUAGGCCUGAAUUCUGACAAGGUUUGGCUCAAUUCCUUUUCAAUUCAGCAGGUAAACCGACAUGUAAAUUCCAUUACUUAAUAAUUAGAAUUGGGAUUGGGAUUUCAGUUUACUUCCUGAAUUGGCUGAAUUGAAAUGGAAUUGGCCCUAACUCUGAACCAAGUAAUGAUGUAAAUGAAGAUAUACAUGAACAUUUGAGUUACAAGCAUAGAUCUUAUGGACUUUUGGCCCGUAGCGUUUCAAAAGCAUAGUUUAGGUCUACAGAAUAAACACAUGAAUACAUUCAAUGGAGACAUCUCAGGUGCUCCACUUAUCAAUGCAACCAAUCUCACCCUAAGUACAUACAUUAACUGAGACAAUCAUGUCUUAAACCCAUGAUAGGAUUCACAAAACUGUUUGAACAAGGUCACAUUCAGCAGGCAGGCACCUCAAUGGGAUGAAAUGCUGUGAAACAGAAAAGAUGCUACCUCAAUCUGUCAUUUGCAUUUGACAAAAUGUUUUCUCCCACAUUUACACUGCUGAACAUAACCCUGGUUUCAGUCGACUAAACACGGCUCUCGAGGGGCGCAGCGGUCUAAGGCAAUGCAUCUCAGUGCAGAGAGGUGUCACUACAUUCCCUGGUUUGAAUCCAGGCUGUAUCACAUCCGGCUGUAAUUGGGAGUCCCAUAGGGUAGCGCACAAUUGGCCCAGCGUUGUCCAGGUUUGGCCGGGGUAGGCCGUAAUUGUAAAUAACAAUUUGUCCUUAACCAACUUGCUAGUUAAAUAAAGGUUCAAUAAAAAAACGAUUGCAUAAAGUUUCCUAGUGCCAAAAUAACACAUCUUGUACAAAAGACCAUAGAGAAUAAAGUCUGAGCAUCGAUGAGAUUGACUUAAGAGGUAAAGGCUAAGGGCUUAGCUACCGUGCCAUGGGUGGGCUGGGAGAAAUCAUUGGUAAACAUUCCCUUAGGAGAGAUGUGCAUUGGGACAGAGCAUCAGUGCUCCAAAGAGAGUAUGGCCUCAUCUUUUUAUAGCCCUGUAACAUACAUGUAAGUCCUGUGUUGCUUGGCCUUGUAAGUCCUGUGUUGCUUGGCCUUGUAAGUCCUGUGUUGCUUGGCCUUGUAAGUCCUGUGUUGCUUGGCCUUGUAAGUCCUGUGUUGCUUGGCCUUGUAAGUCCUGUGUUGCUUGGCCUUGUAAGUCCUGUGUUGCUUGGCCUUGUAAGUCCUGUGUUGCUUGGCCUUGUAAGUCCUGUGUUGCCUUGUAAGUCCUGUGUUGCUUGGCCUUGUAAGUCCUGUGUUGCUUGGCCUUGUAAGUCCUGUGUUGCUUGGCCUUGUAAGUCCUGUGUUGCUUGAACCAAAUAUCUCCAAUUUGGACUCCAGACCAAAGGACAAAUUUAUACCAGUCUAAUGUUCAAUGCUCAUAUUUCUUGGCCCAAGCAAGUCUCUUCUUCUUAUUGGUGUCCUUUACUAGUGGUUUCUUUCAGCAAUUCAACCAUGAAGGCCUGAAUCACAGUCUCCUCUGAACAGUUGAUGUUGAGAUGUGUCUGUUACUUGUACUCUGUGAAGCAUUUAUUUGGGCUGCAAUUUCUGAGGCUUGUAACUCAAAUGAACUUUUCUUCUGCAGCAGAGGUAACUCUGGGUCUUACAUUCCUGAGGUGGUCCUCAUGAGAGCCAGUUUCAUCAUAGCGCUUGAUGGUUUUUGCGACUGCACUUGAAGAAACAUUUAAAGUUCUUGAAAUGUUCUGUAUUGACUGACCAUGUCUUAAAGUAAUGAUGGACUGUAGUUUUUUCUCUUUGCUUAUUUGAGCUGUUCUUUCCAUAGCCCUAUUUGGUAAAAGACCAAGUCCAUACCUUCUUCUAUAUACCGCACCUACCAUGUCACAAUACAACUGAUUGGCUCAAACACAUUAAGAAGGAAAGAAAUUCCACAAAUUAACAAGGCACACCUGUUAAUUGAAAUGCAUUCCAGGUGACUACCUCAUGAAGCUGGUUGAGCGAAUGCCAAGAGUGUGCAAAGCUGUCAUCAAGGCAAAGGGUGGCUAUUUGAAGAAUCUCAAAUAUAAAAUAUAUUUGGAUUUGUUUACACUUGUUUGGUUACUACAUGAUUCCAUGUGUGCUACAUGAUUCCACUGAGAACUACCCAGUGACACGAGCCUACCAGACAAGCAAAAUAACACUGAAACAUGCAUGAGAGCGUCAGCUGUUCCGGCCGCCCCCAGGUGGUAAGGGUAGGUAACACAUCCGCCACGCUGAUCCUCAACACGGGGACCCCUCAGGAGUGCGUGCUCAGUCCACUCCUGUACUCCAUGUUCACUCAUGACUGCACAGCCAGGCACGACUCCAACACCAUCAUUAAGAUUGCUGAUGACACAGCAAGUGGUAGGCCUGAUCACCGACAACAACGAGACAGCCUAUAGGGAGGAGGUCAGAGACCUGACCAUGUGGUGCAAGGACAAAAACCUCUCCCUCAAUGUGAUCAAGACAAAAGGAGAUGAUUGUGGACUACAGGAAAAGGAGGACUGAGCAUGCCCCCAAUCUCAUCGACGGGGCUGUAGUGGAACAGGUUGAAAGCUUCAAGUCCGUUGGCGUCCACAUCACCAACAAACUAGAAUGGUCCAAACACACCAAGACAGUCGUGAAGAGGGCACGGCAAAACCUAUUCCCCCUCAGGAGACUGAAAAGAAUUUGCAUGGGUCCUCAGAUCCUCAAAAGGUUCUAUAGCUGCACCAUCGAAAGCAUCCUGACUGGUUGCAUCACUGCCUGGUAUGGCAACCGCUCGGCCUCCGACCGCAAGGCACUACAGAGGGUAGUGCAUACGGCCCAGGACAUCACUGGGGCCAAGCUCCCUGCCAUCCAGGACCUCUAUACCAGGCGGUGUCAGAGGAAGGCCCUAACAAUUGUCAGACUCCUGCCACCCUCGUCAGACUGUUCCCUCUGCUAUCGCACGGCAAGCGGUACCAAAGCACCAAGUCUAGGUCCAAGAGGCUUCUAAACAGCUUCUCCUGAACAGCUAAUCAAAUGGUUACCCAGACUAUUUGCAUUGCCCCCCCCCCUACACUUCUGCUACUCUUAAUAACUCUUACCUACAUAUUACCUCAAUUACCUCGACACCGGUGCUCCUGCACAUAGACUCUGUACCGGUACCCCCUGUAUAUAGCCUCCACAUAGACUCUGUACCGGUACCCCCUGUAUAUAGCCUCCACAUAGACUCUGUACCGGUACCCCCUGUAUAUAGCCUCCACAUUGACUCUGUACCGGUACCCCCUGUAUAUAGCCUCCACAUUGACUCUGUACCAGUACUCCCUGUAUAAAGCCCCGCUAUUGUUAUUUACUGCUGCUCUUUAAUUAUUUGUUAUUCUAAUCUAUUUUUUUUGUAUUUUCUUAAAACUGCAUUGUUGGUAUAGGGCUUGUAAGUAAGCAUUUCACUGUAAGGUCUACAGCAGUUGUAUUCGGCGCAUGAGACAAAUAAAAUUUGAUUUGGUUAUUUCAUAGUUUUGACAUCUUCACUAUUAUUCUACAAUGUAGAAAAUAGUACAAAUAAAGAAAAACCCUUGAAUGAGUAGGUGUUGUAAAACCUUUGACCGGUAGUGUACAUAUGAUUCUCAUGACUUCUUAUUUCCUUACAUCCUUUGGCUUAACAAGAUAAGAACAUGGCCCAUAUUCAUAAGGCACUCCAGUGUGGGGAUCAUCAUAACAAUGGACUGAUAAGAUUACAGAAACCUCUGUAGUGGGUAUGAAGGCUUUGUACAUAGUAACACAAUAAAAUAACAAUAAUGAGGCUAUCGAUCCUUUAGAUUAUUUAGCACAUUUUCUCUUACUUUGUUAAAACCCUGCAUUAUUGGUUAAGGGCUUGUAAGUAAGCAUUUAACGGUACGGCCUACACCUAUUGUAUUCGGCGCAUGUGAUCAAUAUAUUAUUUGAUUUUGAUUCGGCAUGGUAAUGUAAAGUCCAGUUACAUCCAGGGCAGGCUGUUGUUGUGGGUAAACAUAUUACGGACUCGUUUCUGACCCCAUGUGGACAGAGUCAUACUACACUAUCAUAAAUAAACACAAAAGAGCCAAAGGAAAGGGGGAUAACUAGCAGGUUGUACAACUGAAUGCAUUCAACUGAUAUGGGUCUUCCGAAUUCAACCCAACCCCUCUGAAUCAGAGAGGUGCGGGGGGCUGCCUUAAUAGACAUCCACGUCUCCAAGUGCAAGUUUCUUCCUGAAGUGCUUAACUCAGGUUUCCAUUUGGGUGCUUCAAAUGAUAUAGCACCAUCUUACAUGUAUUUAUUUAUGCUAGUGUCUAGAUCUCAGUAGCUGACAAACUCUUUCUACACACACCUGAACACAGGAAAUGUAGACGGGGAGCAAAUAUAACAUAUGCUAGAACCACCGCCAUCAGUCCAUACAUCAGUUCAUGGUCCUCUUAUAGGAACAAUGUCAACACCAGUCUUCUGGCAGGUAAGUUUCCCAAAAUUCCAACAUGUUCCAUUUCCAUCCUGUACCUGGGAUUUCUGGGAAACCUGGGCAUUUUGGAAAGGUUUAAUUUUGCAACCCUAUUGGAUACUAGUCCCUUGGACUCUCUCAGACACAAAUCUCUAUAAAUUCUAAAUCCUCCCGGUAGAUACACAACAAUCAUUAGAAUGAGACAUAACUGUUUCUGCACGCUACAAUAGUAAAUCACGGCCUCAUUCCCUGAAUCUAACCUGCACCAUAAACAAGAGACACACUACACACUGAAAGCUGAACGGAUGCUUUCACACACACACACACACA
ensembl:lncRNA